AUUGAACGCUGGCGGCAGGCCUAACACAUUCUAGUCGAGCGGAUGAGUGGAGCUUGCUCCAUGAUUCAGCGGCGGACGGGUGAGUAAUGCCUAGGAAUCUGCCUGGUAGUGGGGGACAACGUUUCGAAAGGAACGCUAAUACCGCAUACGUCCUACGGGAGAAAGUGGGGGAUCUUCGGACCUCACGCUAUCAGAUGAGCCUAGGUCGGAUUAGCUAGUUGGUGAGGUAAAGGCUCACCAAGGCGACGAUCCGUAACUGGUCUGAGAGGAUGAGCAGUGACACUGGAACUGGGACACGGUCCAGACUCCUACGGGAGGCGGCAGUGGGGAAUAUUGGACAAGGGGCGAAAGCCUGGUCCAGACAUGCCGCGUGUGUGAAGGAGGUCUUCGGAUUGUAAAGCACUUUAAGUUGGGAGGAAGGGGAGUAAGUUAAUACCUUGCUGUUUUGACGUUACCAACAGAAUAAGCACCGGCUAACUUCGUGCCAGCCGCCGCAGUAAAAC
rnacentral:rRNA from 1 species